CCUACGUGUGUCAGCAGUAGGGACUUUUGCGCAAUGGGGGAAACCCUGACGCAGCAACGCCGCGUGAUCGAUGAAGCCCUUCGGGGUGUAAAGAUCUGUCAGUGGGGACGAAACCUGACUGUACCCACAGAUGAAGCACCGGCUAACUCCGUGCCAGCAGCCGCGGUCCUACGGGGGGUGCAGGCGUUGUCCGUAAUCAUUUGGCGUAAAGGGUUCGUAUGUGGCACGUUAGGUCUGGUGUUAAAGGCGGAAGCUCAACUUCCGUAGGGAACUGGAUACUGGCGAGCUUGAAUGCGGUAGAGGUAAAGGGAAUUCCUGGUGUAGCGGUGAAAUGCGUAGAUAUCAGGAGGAACAUCGGUGGCGUAAGCGCUUUACUGGGCCGUAAUUGACACUGAGGAACGAAAGCCGGGGUAGCAAAUGGGAUUAGAUACCCGAGUAGUC
rnacentral:rRNA from 1 species